UUGCAAAAGAAAUGAAGAAAAAAAAUCAGUGAAGACCGAAAAAAGUUCAUUAUAUCCAACUUCCUCACUUUUUUGGUUCACUAUAUCUACGAAAAAUAAGAUUAUACGUGUCUAGCAAGGCACAGGACCGAAUAUUUCGUUCACUAUAUCCAGGAGUUCACUAUAAACCAUGUUUACUAUAGCAGGGUUUGACUGUAUAUAUAAAAAAUAUGUCAGAUUUUCUUUAUCUUUAAGAAAGGGUUAAAAGUACUUGAUACUAAAAAUACUUAUUUAUUCUUUUGAUUUCUGAAACUAAUACUUGUUUUUAAGUAAUUUAAUUUUAAUUAAAAUAAAUUAAUCAGAAAUAUUUCCGUUUUUCAGUGUGAUGAAGAUGUAGGAUGUAAAACAAAAGGAUUUCAGAAUGAUUCAACUAAAAUUCCACCACCUUUUCAUAGCCAUAAGAUUGUUUCUGAGUCUUUUUUUCUAAAAGGGAUCGCAUUAAACGUUUACUAAUUGUUGGUUCACCUUAUUGGAUGCAUCUGAGUGUUUAAAGGGAAAGUGGUAUAGUAAAAAGGCUGAUGUUUUUUCUUUUGGUAUCAUCAUGUGUGAAAUUAUUGUUAGAAUCGAAACUGAUCCUGAUAUUUUGCCUAGAACAGAGUAUGAGGAAGAUGUAGGAUGCAAAACGAAUUGUUUUUUAGAAUGGUUCAACUAAAAUUCCACCACCUUUUCAUAGCCAUAAGAUUGUUUCUGAGUCUUUUCUUUCUAAAAGUUCAUAAUUCGAAGACCCAUAUUGACAAAACUUAUUUAAAAAAACGCUAGUGAAACAGAUUUUGGAAGAUUCAAAAAGUCCAUCUAGUCCCCAACUUCUUUUGAAACCAAGUAUGGAAAAUAUGUGUUCCUUUCGAAUGGUAACUAUGUAUGGUGAUAAAUUUUAUUAUCCUUU
rnacentral:lncRNA from 1 species